rnacentral:tRNA from 1 species
GCGGCCGUGAUGGAAUUGGCAGUCAUGCUGGGUUUAGGUCCCAGUGCGCCACGCGCGCGUGAGGGUUCGAAUCCCUCCGGCCGCACCG